GAAGUCCGCCAGGCAGCCGCUGGAUGAGCAAUCAUCUGGAGGAAAGUCCGGGCCCCAUAGAGCAGGAUGCCGGCUAACGGCCGGGCGCAGCAAGUCGCAAGACCCAAGGCGACAGACAGUGCAACAGAAACAUACCGCUAACACUCGCAAGAGUGCAGUAAGGGUGAAAUCGUGCGGUAAGAGCGCACGGUCGUACUGGUAACAGUUACGACGGGCAAACCUCAUCCGGGGCAAGGCCAAAUAGGGGAGCAUUGACGUGGCUCGCGUCGCUCCCGGGUAGGCUGCUAGAGGCCGUCAGCAAUGGCGGUCCCAGAGGAAUGGCUGCCCACGACAGAACCCGGCUUAUCGGCGGACUUCCACC
rnacentral:RNase_P_RNA from 1 species